rnacentral:rRNA from 1 species
AUUGAACGCUGGCGGCAGGCUUAACACAUGCAAGUCGAGCGGAGAUGAGGUGCUUGCACCUUAUCUUAGCGGCGGACGGGUGAGUAAUGCUUAGGAAUCUGCCUAUUAGUGGGGGACAACAUUCCGAAAGGAAUGCUAAUACCGCAUACGUCCUACGGGAGAAAGCAGGGGAUCUUCGGACCUUGCGCUAAUAGAUGAGCCUAAGUCGGAUUAGCUAGUUGGUGGGGUAAAGGCCUACCAAGGCGACGAUCUGUAGCGGGUCUGAGAGGAUGAUCCGCCACACUGGGACGGAGACACGGCCCAGACUACUACGGGAGGCAGCAGUGGGGAAUAUUGGACAAUGGGGGAAACCCUGAUCCAGCCAUGCCGCGUGUGUGAAGAAGGCCUUAUGGUUGUAAAGCACUUUAAGCGAGGAGGAGGCUACUGAGACUAAUACUCUUGGAUAGUGGACGUUACUCGCAGAAUAAGCACCGGCUAACUCUGUGCCAGCAGCCGCCGUAAGAC